rnacentral:misc_RNA from 1 species
GAUGAAGAACGCAGCGAAAUGCGAUAAGUAAUGCGAAUUGCAGAAUUCCAGUGAGUCAUCGAAUCUUUGAACGCACAUUGCGCCCAUUGGUAUUCCGAUGGGCAUGCCUGUUCGAGCGUCAUUUCAACCCUCAAGCCCCCGGGCUUGGUGUUGGGGCUCGGCCCGUCCCUAGCGGCGGGCCGUCCCCGAAAUUCAGUGGCGGUCUCGCUGUACUCCUCUGCGUAGUAGCAUACACCUCGCAACGGGAAAGCAGCCUGGCCACGCCGUAAAACCCCCCACUUUCUGAAGGUUGACCUCGGAUCAGGUAGGAAUACCCGCUGAACUUAAGCAUAUCAAUAAGCGGAGGA